rnacentral:rRNA from 1 species
UACGAAGGGUGCAAGCGUUACUCGGAAUUACUGGGCGUAAAGGGUGCGUAGGUGGUUGUUUAAGUCUGCUGUGAAAGCCCCGGGCUCAACCUGGGAAUGGCAGUGGAUACUGGACAGCUAGAGUGCGGUAGAGGGGGGUGGAAUUCCCGGUGUAGUGGUGAAAUGCGUAGAGAUCGGGAGGAACACCUGUGGCGAAGGCGGCCCCCUGGGCCGGCCCUGACACUGAGACGCGAAGGCGUGGGGAGCGAACGGG